UGGGUUGUGGCUCAGUGGUAGAGUGCUUGCCUAGCAUGGAGGCACUGGGUUCAAUUCUCAGCACCACAU
rnacentral:tRNA from 1 species